UACGUAGGGGGCAAGCGUUGUCCGGAUUUAUUGGGCGUAAAGAGCGUGUAGGCGGCUUGGCAAGUCCGCUGUGAAAACUCGAGGCUCAACCUCGAGACGUCGGUGGAAACCGUAUGGCUAGAGUCCGGAAGAGGAGAGUGGAAUUCCUGGUGUAGCGGUGAAAUGCGCAGAUAUCAGGAAGAACACCCGUGGCGAAGGCGGCUCUCUGGGACGGUACUGACGCUGAGACGCGAAAGCGUGGGGAGCGAACAGG
rnacentral:rRNA from 1 species